rnacentral:rRNA from 1 species
AUGAUUGUUGUGAAUGAAUUGCCGUUCUCUCUCGUGGAGUACAAACCAUUUCGGGACUUUGCUGCUUCCUUAAAUCCGUGGUUCAAAGUGCCCUGCAGAACAACCGUCAAAUAUGAUUGCAUUGGAAAUUUUAAGAGAAACAGACUAAAAAUGCAACAAUAUUUUGAGAAGUCUACUAGUAGGGUAUCUUUGACAGCAGAUAUGUGGACGUCAAACCAAAAAUUGGGUUAUCUUUGCAUCACCUGCCACUUGAUUGAUUCGGAUUGGAAAAUUCAAAAAAUUAUCAUAAGAUUC